CCAAUAGCGUAUAUUAAAGUUGUUGCAGUUAAAAAGCUCGUAGUUGAACUUCGGGGUUUACCCAUUGGUCAGGCUUAAUUGUCUGUACUGGUGAGAUAAAUCUCUACCUUCUGAGGAACUUUCAUGCCAUUUAUUUGGUGUGAUUGGAAAUCAGGACUAUUACUUUGAAAAAAUUAGAGUGUUUAAAGCAGGCUAACGUC
rnacentral:rRNA from 1 species